GGCCACCGGCUUGUGGUUGCCUUUCGGUUACACCCUUGUCCGGUGGUUCUCUUCGCGGGGACGCCGCGUGCCUUCACUGGCUCACGGAUGCGAACCGCGACGUUUACUUUGAAAAAAUUAGAGUGUUCAAAGCAGGCCGUUACGGCUUGAAUAUCUUAGCAUGGAAUAAUAGAAUAGGACUUUGGUUCUAUUUUGUUGGUUUCUAGGACUAGAGUA
rnacentral:rRNA from 1 species